ACGCGAAGAACCUUACCUGGGUUUGAAAUGCAGGUGUAAGCCUCAGAGAUGAGGUCCCCUCUUCGGAGGCACCUGCAUAGGUGCUGCAUGGCUGUCGUCAGCUCGUGUCGUGAGAUGUUGGGUUAAGUCCCGCAACGAGCGCAACCCUUGUCCAUAGUUGCUAACGGGUCAUGCCGAGAACUCUAUGGAGACUGCCGGUGAUAAACCGGAGGAAGGUGGGGAUGACGUCAAGUCCUCAUGGCCUUUAUGUCCAGGGCUACACACGUGCUACAAUGGACGGUACAAAGAGUUGCGAAGCCGCGAGGCAGAGCCAAUCUCAAAAAGCCGUUCUCAGUUCGGAUUGCAGUCUGCAACUCGACUGCAUGAAGCUGGAAUCGCUAGUAAUCGCGGAUCAGCACGCCGCGGUGAAUACGUUCCCGGGCCUUGUA
rnacentral:rRNA from 1 species